GAAAUGCGAUAAGUAGUGUGAAUUGCAGAAUUCAGUGAAUCAUCGAAUCUUUGAACGCACAUUGCGCCCCUUGGUAUUCCAUGGGGCAUGCCUGUUCGAGCGUCAUUUGUACCCUCAAGCUCUGCUUGGUGUUGGGUGUUUGUCCCCGUCUCCGCGCGUGGACUCGCCCCAAAGUGAUUGGCAGCCGGCGUACUGGUCCCGGAGCGCAGCACAUGUCGCGCAAAUGAGUGCCUUGGUACGGCGGCGUCCAUAAGCCCCUCUCUCACGCUCUUGACCUCGGAUCAGGUAGGGAUACCCGCUGAACUUAAGC
rnacentral:misc_RNA from 1 species